UGCAGUCGAACGGGGUCGGAACUUCGGUUUCGGCUUACGUGGCGCACGGGUGAGUAACACGUGGGAAUCUGCCCAUCUAUGGGGAAUAACUGCGGGAAACUGCAGCUAAUACCGCAUACGCCCUUCGGGGGAAAGGCUUCGGCCGUAGAUGGAUGAGCCCGCGUCCGAUUAGCUAGUUGGUGGGGUAAUGGCCUACCAAGGCGACGAUCGGUAGCUGGUCUGAGAGGAUGAUCAGCCACACUGGGACUGAGACACGGCCCAGACUCCUACGGGAGGCAGCAGUGGGGAAUAUUGGACAAUGGGCGAAAGCCUGAUCCAGCAAUGCCGCGUGAGUGAUGAAGGUCUUCGGAUUGUAAAGCUCUUUCGACGGGGAAGAUAAUGACGGUACCCGUAGAAGAAGCCCCGGCUAACUUCGUGCCAGCAGCCGCGGUAAUACGAAGGGGGCUAGCGUUGUUCGGAUUUACUGGGCGUAAAGCGUGCGUAGGCGGCUUAUCAAGUCAGAAGUGAAAGCCCGGGGCUCAACUCCGGAAUGGCUUUUGAGACUGGUAGGCUGGAGUUCGGGAGAGGGUAGUGGAAUUCCCAGUGUAGAGGUGAAAUUCGUAGAUAUUGGGAAGAACACCGGUGGCGA
rnacentral:rRNA from 1 species